rnacentral:rRNA from 1 species
AUUGAACGCUGGCGGCAGGCCUAACACAUGCAAGUCGAGCGGAUGAGAGGAGCUUGCUCCUCGAUUCAGCGGCGGACGGGUGAGUAAUGCCUAGGAAUCUGCCCAGUAGUGGGGGACAACGUUUCGAAAGGAACGCUAAUACCGCAUACGUCCUACGGGAGAAAGUGGGGGAUCUUCGGACCUCACGCUAUUGGAUGAGCCUAGGUCGGAUUAGCUAGUUGGUAGGGUAAAGGCCUACCAAGGCGACGAUCCGUAACUGGUCUGAGAGGAUGUUCGGUCACACUGGACCUGUGACACGUUCCAGACUCCUACGGGAGGCAGCAGUGGGGAAUAUUGGACAAUGGGCGCAAGCCUGAUCCAGCCAUGCCGCGUGUGUGAAGAAGGCCCUCGGGUCGUAAAGCACUUUAAGUUGGGAGGAAGGGCUUACAGCGAAUACCUGUGAGUUUUGACGUUACCGACAGAAUAAGCACCGGCUAACUUCGUGCCAUCCGCCGCCGUAA